rnacentral:rRNA from 1 species
AAUGUCGGCCGUAACUAUAACGGUCCUAAGGUAGCGAAAUUCCUUGUCGGGUAAGUUCCGACCUGCACGAAUGGUGUAACGAUCUGGGCACUGUCUCGGCCACGAGCUCGGUGAAAUUGUAGUAGCGGUGAAGAUGCCGCUUACCCGCAACGGGACGAAAAGACCCCGUGCACCUUUACUAUAGCUUCACAUUGACAUUGGGUAAAUGAUGUGUAGGAUAGGCGGGAGACUAUGAAGCUGGUACGCUAGUGCUGGUGGAGUCGUUGGUGAAAUACCGCCCUUUAUUUAUCUGAUGUCUAAUCCCGCCUCGGCGGGCGACAGUGUGUGGUGGGUAGUUUGACUGGGGUGGUCGCCUCCAAAAGAGUAACGGAGGCUCCUAAAG